rnacentral:rRNA from 1 species
GCUCGUAGUUGGAUUUCGGGCGUGGAGGUUCGGUCCGCCGUUUCGGUGUGCACUGUCUUUCUGCGUCUUUCUGUCGGGGACGCGCUUCUGGCCUUAAUUGGCUGGGACGUGGAUUCGACGAGGUUACUUUGAAAAAAUUAGAGUGUUCAAAGCAAGCUAAAGCUCUGAAUACAUUAGCAUGGAAUAACGCGAGAGGACUCGGUCCUUAUUUUGUUGGUCUUCAAGGAUGGAGUAAUGAUUAAGAGGGACAGUUGGGGGCAUUCGUAUUUCAUUGCUAGAGGUGAAAUUCUUGGAUUUAUGAAAGACGAACUUCUGCGAAAGCAUUUGCCAAGGAUGUUUUCAUUGAUCAAGAACGAAAGUUGGGGGCUCGAAGAUGAUCAGAUACCAUCCUAGUCUCAACCAUAAACGAUGCCGACUAGGGAUUGGCAGGUGUUACAUCGAUGACUCUGCCAGCACCUUAUGAGAAAUCAAAGUUUUUGGGUUCCGGGGGGAGUAUGGUCGCAAGGCUGAAACUUAAAGGAAUUGACGGAAGGGCACCACCAGGAGUGGAGCCUGCGGCUUAAUUUGACUCAACACGGGGAAACUUACCAGGUCCAGACAUAGUAAGGAUUGACAGAUUGAGAGCUCUUUCUUGAUUCUAUGGGUGGUGGUGCAUGGCCGUUCUUAGUUGGUGGAGUGAUUU